UUCGGCGAUAUCAUGUUGAGACAUCGCUUCUCCUCCGAUCACCGAAGUUAAGCAACAUUGAACUUUGUCAGUACCAAGAUGGGUGGCCGUUCGGGAGAACCAGAUCCUGUA